rnacentral:rRNA from 1 species
GACGAACCGAGCGAACGUUGUUCGGAAUCACUGGCUUAAAGGCGCGUAGCGGUGCUCAAGUCCGGGUGAAUCCCACAGCUCAACUGUGAAUUGCCUCGAUACUGGUGUCUCGAGGUGUAGGGUAUGCGACUAUCGGUGAGCGUGAAUGCGUGAUAUCGAUAGACUCGUGCGAGCGCAUACUGGCACUCUGACGCUGAUGCGCGAAGCAGGGAGCAAA